AGCAGGAAUAGCUCCUCGAUUGUCUGUGGACUUUACAGCUUUUUGACAGUGAAUGGAAGACGCCACCUCGAUGUCUUCCCAGCAAGGGCUCUAUCCAGAACACAAAUACACUGGAAAAAUUCAAGGAAUGCGACAAGAAAGAGUUACUUGAAACUGCAGGGAAGCAGAUCUGGGAUGACAUAAUUAGUGGCAGAGCCGUGAGAUGAUCCUUCACUCCUGUCCAGAUUUCUUCUU